AGUGAACGCUGGCGGUAGGCCUAACACAUGCAAGUCGAACGGCAGCACAGUAAGAGCUUGCUCUUACGGGUGGCGAGUGGCGGACGGGUGAGGAAUACAUCGGAAUCUACUUUUUCGUGGGGGAUAACGUAGGGAAACUUACGCUAAUACCGCAUACGACCUACGGGUGAAAGCAGGGGAUCUUCGGACCUUGCGCGAUUGAAUGAGCCGAUGUCGGAUUAGCUAGUUGGCGGGGUAAAGGCCCACCAAGGCGACGAUCCGUAGCUGGUCUGAGAGGAUGAUCAGCCACACUGGAACUGAGACACGGUCCAGACUCCUACGGGAGGCAGCAGUGGGGAAUAUUGGACAAUGGGCGAAAGCCUGAUCCAGCCAUACCGCGUAGGUGAAGAAGGCCUUCGGGUGGUAAAGCCCUUUUGUUGGGAAAGAAAAGCAGCAGGUUAAUACCCCGCUGUUCUGACGGUACCCAAAGAAUAAGCACCGGCUAACUUCGUG
rnacentral:rRNA from 1 species